UGGUCAGAAUUCCAAGAAUGGAUCACUGAAGCUAAUUAGGGACCAGAAGAAAAUUUUAAAUGAUUCAGAAGGAGACAACAGCAUGCCAAGAGUUGGAGGAAGCAGCCAAAGAAGAAAAAGAGGAAGACCACGUAAAUUAGUAGUCACAAGCAGGGCUCCAGAAGACGGCUCUGCAGGUAAGGAUCACAAAAGGGCUGGAAUUGCUGCUGAUGAAACUGGAGUAAAAGAUCAUAUAACUAAUGAAACUGAGUUGC